rnacentral:misc_RNA from 1 species
GGGAAGGGUGCAGACAACAAUUACUAAAAGAGUGGUAGACCAGUAGACUGGAGCAGGAGCUAGAGCUUCCACAAGGAUUCUAAAGGCAUAUUUAGAAUAAUCUGGCGCUAUCAUACCAUAGAUCAAAAGAAACAGGUACCAACUAGCAAUACUUCCCCAGAUGAAAAUAUGUUGAAUCCAUGUGAAAUGACUCAUUGUGAGUGCAAUCUGACAGUUGACAGCCCAGACAAUGCAGGUGAACAUCGUAGUGCCCAUAGCAGUCAGGUCGGCAGUCUGGCCUUCAGCACGGAAGGCUUGAUCAUAGAAGAUGAUAAUGUUGAGGAAGAAAACAAUGAGAGAGGUGUAGACACCGUUGCCAAGCCAACCGAAUAUCCUAUACCAGUCAAAGAAC